GGUGAGAGCGCGGUGGUAGCAACCUCACACCUGGGCUUUAACUCUUCCGGGUCACGGGCGUGGGCGGAUGCCGAGUGGGAGAAGAGAAGCAGGUCUUAAAGCCCCUGGAUCCGCUAGGCGCUUCCUGGAGCGUCCAGGCCGGGGUCGGUGCCCUCCUCAUUCGGGAGGGAGGGGGGUAAGCGCUGGGCGGAGCGAAGUCUCGCGAGAUCUGGCCGUAGCGGCGGCAGCAGCGGCGGCGGCGGCGGCCCGGGAGGUUCAUAAUAAAGGUGCUAAGGAAGAGAAUGUAAGACAGGACAAUAAAUAUUUUUAUUGAGGCAGCAGCUGCAUCCAGACUUAGCUCACUGAGAGGGGGGUGGGGAGGCAGAGAACCCAGAAGGAGUCAGGAAGGAAAUAAAUAAACCCUGUGUAAUGGGUUUUU